GCAAACAGCAACACACAGUGGAGAGACACAUUACAUAAGCAUGCUGACUGAUUUCACCCAAAUGUCUGCCCCUUAGGUUUCUAUUGUCCUGAAAGCACAGGUUAUGACUGGAGGCCUUGUCCGGUGGGGACAUACAGUCCUGACUCUGGUUUGAGCAGCCUCUCUGAAUGUAGGGAAUGUGAUGGAGGACACUACUGCUCUCUUCAGAACUCCACCUCUGUCACAGGAAAAUGCUCUGAGGGAUAUUACUGUGCACAUGGAAACAUCUCACCUCAACCUCACAAGCAGUCUUCGGGAGGGGGACCUUGUCCUGCAGGUCACUUUUGCCCGCAAAGCACUGCUCAGCCUCAGCCUUGUCCAGAGGGCACUUUCAGUAACAAAUCCCAACUGGUGAAAAUGGUAAGAAGAAUUUCUCUAUUUAGAUUAAAAGUGCAACAACACGAGCUCACACAAGUGCAAUUGUCAGCAGUCACUUCUGUAAAGGCCAUAGAUACCAUUUUCUUACAGGAAGAGUGUUUGUUAUGUCCUGCUGGCCAUUAUUGUGACAUAUCUGGGCUGACUUCACCCAGUGGAGAAUGCUGGGAAGGUUUUUACUGCAAACAGGGAGCCGUACUCCCCAACAGCCCAAUCAACGAUCACAGAGGAGGACCGUGUCCGACAGGUAAUUGACAGAUCCCCCAAUUCAAGGCAGAUUAAAAACACCCACCUUCCCCUCAAACCGGCCCACCUCAUCCUGUUUUCUGCUCCCGCGUAGGUUAUUUUUGCUCUAGAGGCUCAGGCGCUCCUCAAACCUGUCCAGAAGGAUACAUCAGCAGUAGAGAGAGACAGGCCAGCUGCAGCCUGUGUCCUCAGGGGUAGACACACUUAUACAUAAACAAGAAAGUUUAACAUUUAAAGGUGAAGUGUAUAAUUUUUUUAAUGUUAAAAUACUUUCUGCUCUCCCAGGUGGUGCAGAGACAGCUAGAAGUACGACAUUUAUACGUUAAUUCUCCCAAAACUCAACAAACCUGACACAGUAACAUUGACUCAGCCAACAGAGUGCAACAGGCGGUUUCCAGAAGUAAAAAUCCCAUUCAUUUUCUCCAUUGGGGAACUGAUUUUGAACAAUAACUUACAAACUUUAGAGACAGACCUACUGUGAGCUACGAGGUUGUUAAUCGGUGGUACUGUAUAUGCUUUUGUUGAACCCAUCAGCCCGCAUUAUUUCAACAUAUUUAAAUAAAUAGUUGUUUAACAGCA
ensembl:lncRNA